ACCGUCGACGACGAUGAUCUCAUCUCUUAUAUUGUUGCAGGGUUAGAUGAUGAUUUCGAGCCAGUGGUGUCCAAUAUCGUUGGACGACCCGAAUCAAUCACAGUGGCUGAAGCCUUGGCGCAGCUCCUGAGUUUCGAGC
rfam:Oryza brachyantha chromosome 2, whole genome shotgun sequence.